GGGGCUGAAGCUCAGUCAAGAGCACGUGCUUGGCAUGCGUGAGGCCUUGGGUUCAACUUCCGGCACCUCCA
rnacentral:tRNA from 1 species